UGACCGCUGGCGGCGUGCCUAAUACAUGCACGUCGAGCGAACAGACGCGGAGCUUGCUCCUCUGACGUUAGCGGCGGACGGGUGAGUAACACGUGGAUAACCUACCUAUAAGACUGGGAUAACUUCGGGAAACCGGAGCUAAUACCGGAUAAUAUAUUGAACCGCAUGGUUCAAUAGUGAAAGACGGUUUUGCUGUCACUUAUAGAUGGAUCCGCGCCGCAUUAGCUAGUUGGUAAGGUAACGGCUUACCAAGGCAACGAUGCGUAGCCGACCUGAGAGGGUGAUCGGCCACACUGGAACUGAGACACGGUCCAGACCCCUACGGGAGGCAGCAGUAGGGAAUCUUCCGCAAUGGGCGAAAGCCUGACGGAGCAACGCCGCGUGAGUGAUGAAGGUCUUCGGAUCGUAAAACUCUGUUAUUAGGGAAGAACAAAUGUGUAAGUAACUAUGCACGUCUUGACGGUACCUAAUCAGAAAGCCACGGCUAACUACGUG
rnacentral:rRNA from 1 species